UUUUUCAUGCCACCUUGUUGCUGUGGUGAGAUCACAAGAGGCAAACAACAAGACUUGGACUUAGAACAGAAAGGCAAAUGGACUCUGAUGUGGGAGGAGACUGUUAGCUUUCAGGAGUUGUAAAACAAAUUGUUCUCAAGCAUCUUUCAGCCUGUUGUAUUUCAAAAUGCUUUGCAACUGGAGAACCACAUUCUGCCUAACUGCUCCAGGGGUGUUCAAAUCAGGUGCACGGAUGAAAGGGUGCAGAGAAACCCCCCAUCUUGCAUCCUGGCACAGCAGCCAGGGGGUGCAAGUCACUGCAAAGGAGAUGGAGAAGAGGUCAUGGUUCCCUUUCCUUAUAUUGCAUCAGCCAUUGGAACUGGGUCGUGGUUCUCAACCUGGAGUACACAUACCCCUGGGAGUACGCAGAGGUCUUCUGGGGGGUAUGCCAACUCAUGUAGAUAGUUGCUUAGUUUUACAAGAGGCUAUAUAAAAAGCACUAGGAAAGUGCCUGUCUACUCUAGAGAUGAGGACAGGUGGCAUCACUAACCAAAAGAACACUUCAUUUCAAUCUUGUACCUUCAGCUUCUUUUUUAAAUUACACCCACCUGCAACACAGCUAAGGGAAGAAGGGAAGCCCAUCACAUUAUCUGAAAGAUAUCUCAGAGACAUUACUUUAUUUUGUUUGAAUGAAGUCUCCUCCAUAAUGUGCCUAAUCUUUGAUGAAUGCAAACUAUGGUCCAGAAUCUCUGGUUGGUUCAAUGUGGGCAAAGAGGACACACACACAGAUCCAACUGUAGAAUUGGGACCAAAGGACUGAACCAAAAUGAACUGGGAUAUUCACUCCCCUCACGAGCCCAAUCCCUCUUUUUAUUAUUUUAAAUACAUUUAGAAAAGUUCCCUGGAAAUUGUAAAUUUGAACAGACUUGCUACUGAAAUACUGUAUCCACAGAACCGGUAUAGCUUGAGCAGCAAUUGUGAAAGCUUUGUUGUGAAUUUGUCAGCUUGUCACGGUUUUUAAGUGAAAGGGGGAAGUGUUAGAAUUCAUGUCUAUUGAAAAAAAUAAAAUGUAUCCUAUUAAGGAAAAAAUAAAAUGUAUAAUGGAAUUCCUAAGAAUUAAUU